UACAGAGGGGGCAAGCGUUGUUCGGAAUUACUGGGCGUAAAGGGCUUGUAGGUGGCCAACUAAGUCAGACGUGAAAUCCCUCAGCUUAACUGGGGAACUGCGUCUGAUACUGGAUGGCUUGAGUUUGGGAGAGGGAUGCGGAAUUCCAGGUGUAGCGGUGAAAUGCGUAGAUAUCUGGAGGAACACCGGUGGCGAAGGCGGCCCGCUGGGCAGGAAGAUGGAGCAAUCCAUCGGCUGACGCUGAGGCGCGACAGCGUGGGGAGCAAACAGG
rnacentral:rRNA from 1 species